AUAGUAGAUGAAUAUGAUAGUAUGAUCAUGAGUGUGGUUUUUCACAGGGUCAGUCUCAUCCAUUCUAUUCUAAAUGUGCUGAUGCCUGCAAUUCCCUCAAAUGUGGGAAACUUGACUUUUAACUUGUGAUAGUAGGUACUAUGUUUGUGCUAUUUCCUG
ensembl:snRNA U1 U1 spliceosomal RNA